GAGGAGUGUAAGACACUACCAGACAACUCCGGCUGGAUGUGUUCCUCUGGGAACAAGAUCAAGACCACGAGGAACACCCAACCAUAUUCAACUUUUUAGCUCUGAGGGCCACCAAAGCUGGCUCGCUAGAAGCUCAGUGGUGUCCUUCUCCUCAUCAAGAUUCAUCCCCGGACCUAACAAAGAGCUCUUUCACAGGCAGUGAAUGUGGAUUCUUUCUGUCAGAAUGGACGAAACCAUUCAUUCAAAGGGGUGUUUGACUGAAUUACCUGUGACUGAACAAUAAAGAAGGACAUUCUUGGGGAUAAAGAUGAGAUUUGCUCAUUCAGUGCCAAGGAAUAUGACAAAUAGAAAUAAAGCAGGCUAAUCUGUGUUUUUGAUCAAUGAGCCCAACGCUGCAGACUCGACCGUGUCCAAUUCUCUUGAUUUUCUGCGUUUCUCCUGACCACCUUCCUCUGGUUCUAAACUCAUACAGCUUAGGGGAGCCUAUUUGAAGACUUUGCCUCCCUAGGUAAACUGGACAAUCCUGAUUUAAGCUGUGAAUAACUGUAUGAAGGCUCAUGACGGAUAAGCACUGGUCUGUGAAAAUGAGGUGGAAAUCAAUAGGAGAUUUUUUUUUUUCCAUCCCAGCAUCAGUUUGUCGUUCCACGUCGGCUUUGGUAACAGACUAGGAGCUUGUGAAGCCGUGCUAUUUCCCUUUCACUUCUGAGUUUACCGCUCACCGCUAGUGUCCCACAUGCUGUCCGUUUGGAAUUCCCCCAAGUCAAGGUCACCUCACUGUCUACUUGGGCCAGAUAUCUUUUUAUUUGUCAGCAUGCUCAAUGUAUUUUGUGGGAGCUUUGUAUUGAAAGUAACUGUAUAUAUUUCUGUAUAUAUACAUAUAGAUACAUAUUAAAAGACAUCAUAUGAAGAUCUAUCAUGCCCUAAAACCUGUUCAGUGGGUUUGAAUUAAGACUGUAUUCAUAGUUGUGGUUCCUUGAACAAGAAGUACAAUUAAUCCCUAAUUUAAGGCUGUCUGUGAAAAUACAUAUUCUCUUGAUGUAAUGG